UUUGAACAAAAUGUAGUAGUUAAUUGUAUGGUAGCAACAGAAAGUUAGUGGUCGAUGUGAACUAACACCAAUAUUAAUGAAAUUGGGUUUUGUUUGUAAGAGAAAAUUAAAUAAAAAAGAGUGAACUUUGAAUAUUUCGAAUAUUCGGUUAAUUUAGGUGGUACCACGCGUCAGCGUCCUUUAA
rnacentral:misc_RNA from 1 species